GCGACCCCAGGUCAGGCGGGACUACCCGCUGAAUUUAAGCAUAUAAAUAAGCGGAGGAGAAGAAACUUACAAGGAUUCCCCUAGUAACGGCGAGCGAACCGGG
rnacentral:rRNA from 1 species